UUUUUAAUGACACCAAAGCCAUUAACGAACCUAUGAUCAGAAAGCAGUGGGCAAAGAGCAAAUAGAGCAAUAACAAGGUAAGACAGUGUGCUCUUUUCACACACAGAAAAGAGGCAAUUAAAAAAUGGGUGCAGCUGUGGUCCACACUAGUUCAAGUUACAUAUUAUUUUGCAAAAUGAAUCUAAAGAUUUUGUGAAUAUACUCAUGUAUAUUAUUAUUCUUACUAUGUCUAAUGUAAUGUCUUGUUUCUUCCUUUACUCACAAGUAUAAAGGGGAAGAGAAACAAUAGAAUUACUAAGUAGAAGGUAAUUUAAGAAUGAAGGAAAAGAAUAAGGGAACUUUUCUAAGAAUGGGAGCCUACUUUUGAGAAAUGAAGAACCAUCCUAGAAGAAACAAAUAAUUCAUUAAAAGGAGCAAGAUCUGGUCAAUAAGAAUUGAGCUAGACAUCCUUUAUUUGAGAAGAAGCAUUCUGGCUUCUGCCGCCGCCGCCACCCCAUUUUCUCCCACCU